AAGUUUAUUUUUUUUAAAAAAAUUAUAUAUAAAUAUAUGACCUAGGUAUAAGAAAUGAGAGAUUAACCGGAUGGUUUGUUAGGAACAUAUAUGACUAAUCCAAUAAUUCUCCAACGAUGGAAUUAACUGGAAAGAUCACAAAAUCGGGUGAUUCUCCAAAUCUUUCCUCUCCUUCUUUGCACCUCCAUUACUCUGUCUUUGUAUUUGAUGGCUUGUAACAGGUCAAACACUAUGAGGCUUAUUGAUGAGAAUCAAAAUAUGAUUGGUAUAGUGUCCAUAAGUCAGGCCAUUCAAAUGGCUGAAGAUUCCGAACUUGACUUGGUAAGAGUAUCCCCAGCUGCAAAUUCCCCAGUUGUUAGAAUAAUAGAUUUGAA